UACGUAGGGCGCAAGCGUUGUCCGGAAUCAUUGGGCGUAAAGAGCUCGUAGGUGGUCUGUUACGUCUGCUGUGAAAUCCUAGGGCUUAACCCUGGGCCUGCAGUGGAUACGGGCAGACUAGAGGUAGGUAGGGGAGAAUGGAAUUCCCGGUGUAGCGGUGAAAUGCGCAGAUAUCGGGAGAACACCGUGGCGAAGGCGGUCUACCUGGGACGAUGAACUGACGCUGAG
rnacentral:rRNA from 1 species